rnacentral:rRNA from 1 species
UACGUAGGGGGCAAGCGUUGUCCGGAUUUAUUGGGCGUAAAGGGCUCGUAGGCGGCCAACUAAGUCAGACGUGAAAUCCCUCAGCUUAACUGGGGAACUGCGUCUGAUACUGGAUGGCUUGAGUUUGGGAGAGGGAUGCGGAAUUCCAGGUGUAGCGGUGAAAUGCGUAGAUAUCUGGAGGAACACCGGUGGCGAAGGCGGCAUCCUGGACCAAUACUGACACUGAGGAGCGAAAGCCAGGGGAGCAAACGGG